GACGAACUUUGGCGGUGUGCUCAACACAUGCAAGUCGAACGGAAAGGCCCUGCUUUUGUGGGGUGCUCGAGUGGCGAACGGGUGAGUAACACGUGAGUAACCUGCCCUUGACUUUGGGAUAACUUCAGGAAACUGGGGCUAAUACCGGAUAGGAGCUCCUGCUGCAUGGUGGGGGUUGGAAAGUUUCGGCGGUUGGGGAUGGACUCGCGGCUUAUCAGCUUGUUGGUGGGGUAGUGGCUUACCAAGGCUUUGACGGGUAGCCGGCCUGAGAGGGUGACCGGCCACGUUGGGACUGAGAUACGGCCCAGACUCCUACGGGAGGCAGCAGUGGGGAAUAUUGCACAAUGGGCGGAAGCCUGAUGCAGCAACGCCGCGUGCGGGAUGACGGCCUUCGGGUUGUAAACCGCUUUCGCCUGUGACGAAGCGUGAGUGACGGUAAUGGGUAAAGAAGCACCGGCUAACUACGUGCCAGCAGCCGCGGUGAUACGUAGGGUGCGAGCGUUGUCCGGAUUUAUUGGGCGUAAAAGGGCUCGUAGGUGGUUGAUCGCGUCGGAAGUGUAAUCUUGGGGCUUAACCCUGAGCGUGCUUUCGAUACGGGUUGACUUGAGGAAGGUAGGGGAGAAUGGAAUUCCUGGUGGAGCGGUGGAAUGCGCAGAUAUCACGAGGAACACCAGUGGCGAAGGCGGUUUCUCUGGGCCUUUCCUGACGCUGAGGAGCGAAAGCGUGGGGGAGCGAACAGGCUUUAGAUACCCUGGUAGUCCACGCUGUAAACGGUGGGUACUAGGUGUGGGGUCCAUUCCACGGGUUCCGUGCCGUAGCUAACGCCUAAAGUACCCCGCCUGGGGAGCACGGCCGCAAGGCUAAAACUCAAAGGAAUUGACGGGGCCCCGCACAAGCGGCGGAGCAUGCGGAUUAAUUCGAUGCAACGCGUAGAACCUUACCUGGGUUUGACAUGGAUCGGGAGUGCUCAGAGAUGGGUGUGCCUCUUUUGGGGUCGGUUCACAGGUGGUGCAUGCCUGUCGUCAGCUCGUGUCGUGAGAUGUUGGGUUAAGUCCCGCAACGAGCGCAACCCUUGUUCACUGUUGCCAGCACGUUAUGGUGGGGACUCAGUGGAGACCGCCGGGGUCAACUCGGAGGAAGGUGGGGAUGACGUCAAGUCCUCAUGCCCCUUAUGUCCAGGGCUUCACGCAUGCUACAAUGGCUGGUACAGAGAGUGGCGAGCCUGUGAGGGUGAGCGAAUCUCGGAAAGCCGGUCUCAGUUCGGAUUGGGGUCUGCAACUCGACCUCAUGAAGUCGGAGUCGCUAGUAAUCGCAGAAAAGCAACGCUGCGGUGAAUCGUUCCCGGGGC
rnacentral:rRNA from 1 species